rnacentral:rRNA from 1 species
UACGAAGGGGGCUAGCGUUGUUCGGAAUUACUGGGCGUAAAGCGCGCGCAGGCGGCCUUUCAAGUCAGGGGUGAAAGCCCGGAGCUCAACUCCGGAAUUGCCUUUGAAACUGUCAGGCUCGAGUACGGGAGAGGUGAGUGGAAUUCCCAGUGUAGAGGUGAAAUUCGUAGAUAUUGGGAAGAACACCGGUGGCGAAGGCGGCUCACUGGCCCGUUUCUGACGCUCAGGCGCGACAGCGUGGGGAUCAAACAG